UACGGAGGGAGCUAGCGUUGUUCGGAAUUACUGGGCGUAAAGCGCACGUAGGCGGACUCUUUAAGUCAGGGGUGAAAUCCUGGAGCUCAACUCCAGAACUGCCUUUGAUACUGAGAAGCUUGAGUCCGGGAGAGGUGAGUGGAACUGCGAGUGUAGAGGUGAAAUUCGUAGAUAUUCGCAAGAACACCAGUGGCGAAGGCGGCUCACUGGCCCGGUACUGACGCUGAGGUGCGAAAGCGUGGGGAGCAAACAGG
rnacentral:rRNA from 1 species